AUUGUUGGUGCUAGUACCUUAUCAGUUCAUUGGGCUCCUUUGAAAUGCUGAGGAUCUGCUUACACAGGGCAACUCCUGGCAGAAGGGGGUUGGAUACAGAUGUGGUGUAUAAAAGCGAGAAUGGACAUGUCAUUAAACUGAAUAUAGAAACAAAUGCUACCACAUUAUUAUUGGAAAACACAACUUUUGUAACCUUCAAAGCAUCAAGACAUUCAGUUUCACCAGAUUUAAAAUAUGUCCUUCUGGCAUAUGAUGUCAAACAGAUUUUUCAUUAUUCAUAUACUGCUUCGUAUGUGAUUUACAACAUACACACUAGGGAAGUUUGGGAGUUAAAUCCUCCAGAAGUAGAGGACUCCGUCUUGCAGUACGCGGCCUGGGGUGUCCAAGGGCAGCAGCUGAUUUAUAUUUUUGAAAAUAAUAUCUACUAUCAACCUGAUAUAAAGAGCAGUUCAUUGCGACUGACAUCUUCUGGAAAAGAAGAAAUAAUUUUUAAUGGGAUUGCUGACUGGUUAUAUGAAGAGGAACUCCUGCAUUCUCACAUCGCCC
rnacentral:sRNA from 1 species